rnacentral:rRNA from 1 species
AAGAUGAGAUAUCCCAUAACGUCAAGUUAGUAAGACCCCUUGAAGACGACGAGGUAGAUAGGGCAGAGGUGGAAGUGCGGUAACGCAUGGAGCUGACUGUUACUAAUAGGUCGAGGGCAUAACCAA